CCUACGGGAGGCAGCAGUGGGGAAUAUUGGACAAUGGGGGGAACCCUGAUCCAGCCAUGCCGCGUGUGUGAAGAAGGCCUUUUGGUUGUAAAGCACUUUAAGCAGUGAAGAAGAAGUUAUGGUUAAUACCCAUAAUGGAUGACAUUAGCUGCAGAAUAAGCACCGGCUAACUCUGUGCCAGCAGCCGCGGUAAUACAGAGGGUGCGAGCGUUAAUCGGAAUUACUGGGCGUAAAGCGAGCGUAGGUGGCUUAAUAAGUCAGAUGUGAAAUCCCCGGGCUUAACCUGGGAACUGCAUCUGAAACUGUUCGGCUAGAGUAGGUGAGAGGGAAGUAGAAUUCCAGGUGUAGCGGUGAAAUGCGUAGAGAUCUGGAGGAAUACCGAUGGCGAAGGCAGCUUCCUGGCAUCAUACUGACACUGAGGUUCGAAAGCGUGGGUAGCAAACAGGAUUAGAUACCCUGGUAGUCCACGCCGUAAACGAUGUCUACUAGUCGUUGGGUCCCUUGAGGACUUAGUGACGCAGCUAACGCAAUAAGUAGACCGCCUGGGGAGUACGGCCGCAAGGUUAAAACUCAAAUGAAUUGACGG
rnacentral:rRNA from 1 species